rnacentral:rRNA from 1 species
GGAAAGACCCCGUGAACCUUUACUGCAGGCUCAUAUUGGUCAUGAGCACAUGAUGCGCAGGAUAAGUGGGAGGCUUUGAAGCUGAUGUUCAGGCAUUGGUGGAGCCGUUGUUGAGAUACCACUCUUCUUGAGUUUGUGGCCUAACCCUGAUUCCCGUGAAGCCGGGCAGGGGACAGUGUGUGUCGGGUAGUUUGACUGGGGCGGUCU